UGGGGAAUAUUGGGCAAUGGGCGAAAGCCUGACCCAGCAACGCCGCGUGAAGGAAGAAGGUCUUCGGAUUGUAAACUUCUUUUAUGAGGGACGAAGGACGUGACGGUACCUCAUGAAUAAGCCACGGCUAACUACGUGCCAGCAGCCGCGGUAAUACGUAGGUGGCAAGCGUUAUCCGGAUUUACUGGGUGUAAAGGGCGCGUAGGCGGGGAUGCAAGUCAGAUGUGAAAUCUAUGGGCUUAACUCAUAAACUGCAUUUGAAACUGUAUCUCUUGAGUGCUGGAGAGGUAGAUGGAAUUCCUUGUGUAGCGGUGAAAUGCGUAGAUAUAAGGAAGAACACCAGUGGCGAAGGCGAUCUACUGGACAGUAACUGACGCUGAGGCGCGAAAGCGUGGGGAGCAAACAGGAUUAGAUACC
rnacentral:rRNA from 1 species